rnacentral:rRNA from 1 species
UACGAAGGGGGCUAGCGUUGCUCGGAAUCACUGGGCGUAAAGGGCGCGUAGGCGGCUUUGUAAGUCGGGGGUGAAAGCCUGUGGCUCAACCACAGAAUUGCCUUCGAUACUGCAUGGCUUGAGACCGGAAGAGGUAAGUGGAACUGCGAGUGUAGAGGUGAAAUUCGUAGAUAUUCGCAAGAACACCAGUGGCGAAGGCGGCUCACUGGUCCGGUACUGACGCUGAGGUGGCGAAAGCGUGGGGAGCAAACGGG